rnacentral:rRNA from 1 species
GACGAACGCUGGCGGCGUGCUUAACACAUGCAAGUCGAACGGUAAGGCCCUUCGGGGUACACGAGUGGCGAACGGGUGAGUAACACGUGGGUGAUCUGCCCUGCACUUCGGGAUAAGCCUGGGAAACUGGGUCUAAUACCGGAUAGGACCACUGCCUGCAUGGGUGGUGGUGGAAAGCUUUUGCGGUGUGGGAUGGGCCCGCGGCCUGUCAGCUUGUUGGGGGGGUGAUGGCCUACCAAGGCGACGACGGGUAGCCGGCCUGAGAGGGUGACCGGCCACACUGGGACUGAGAUACGGCCCAGACUCCUACGGGAGGCAGCAGUGGGGAAUAUCGCACAAUGGGCGCAAGCCUGAUGCAGCGACGCCGCGUGAGGGAUGACGGCCUUCGGGUUGUAAACCUCUUUCAGCACCGACGAAGCGCAAGUGACGGUAGGUGCAGAAGAAGGACCGGCCAACUACGUGCCAGCCGCCGCCGUAA